rnacentral:sRNA from 1 species
UCCUACCGAGUUUUUCGUUGAGCCUGGAGUGGUGCCAGCAUCCCACGAAUGACGCACAGGACAACGGAGCCAUACCAACGUGUGCACGUAUAGUCUAUAUCAUCAACUUCGCGGCAAAAUAAGAGAUGUUAGUAGUCUAGAAAUGGGGGACUAUUUUGUCAUAAAAGAGCAUAAAAGCAAAUUAGCAAUUUUUGUCGUAUCUCCAAGGAUAAAAAAAGGUCGGCAGUACAUUCCCACUGAAAGUUGUCACAAGCCAGACGAGAGUUGGUGAAAAUUCCAUAAUCUCUCAUUACCGCCUCCUAGAACCGCCAAAUCCAGUACUUUCCGUCGUUGAAGCAGAGGGUGAAAAUGCCGGCCUAGAAUAUCUUGCUCUUGAGCUUUCUGCUCGGUCCGAUCCCCAUCCCCACCCAGAUCUUGAUUCCGACCCACCCCGCCUGCCCAGAGCAUAUGCUGCCGCGCUCCCAGCCGCUGCACCAGUCCAAAACCCAGGCGUCCACGACGGCAUCUUCCUAAAUCCCGAAUAUUCAUAUGGAGGUGGCGGAUCAUUCCAUCCUCCCCAUCCUCCCCAUCCUCCCCAUCCUCCCCAUCCUCCGCCUCCACCGCCUCCAGGACCCCAUCCACCUCCCCAGCCCCACCAUGGCCGGCCGCCUCUCCUCUGCCGAGCUCCGCCAGCUAGACAACCAUAGGCCAAUAGGAAAAUAACAGCCAAGACUCCGUAAAACAACAAGGAGGAAAUUAGCUCCCAGAGGGACUCCAACCAGCUACGCACAUUCCCGUACCCACCAACGAGUUCCCCGUACCUUUGCUCCCCCCUCUCCGUCAACAGCAACCGGUAUUCCACCCCACAACUCCCUUUCAACACCCACGGAUCCUCCUUAUCCCGGUAGCCUUCACAGACCACAUCCGUGCUCCCCAGCCUAAACUCCGGCGGCAAGUGCGCCGUGCACGUCCACUGCACGUCAUUCACGUCGUAGUCAUGUCCUUGAUUCACGCAGCGCAUGGUAUCUGGGGUGUAGAGGGCGCAUAUCUUCUUCGAGGGCCCGAUGCAGGUUAGUUGUUCGACGGCGGGGAGGCGGCGGUGGGUUGUUUUGCGGUUCGAGUGGAAGGUUAAGGAUUGGAUGGCGCUGAGGAGGACGGCAUCUUUGGAGGCAGGUGCUCUUGAGGGCUUGUAGGCUUGGGCUUGAGCCGGGAGGAGGGAGAGGAGGACGGAGAGGAGGGGAACGAUGGUUGUGUAGAUGCGUGUCAUUUUUGGGUGGUGAACAUGGUAAGUGAUGUUUGAUAGAGAGCACUGGAGCUGUUACGGAGGUUAGUUUCCUGGUUAAAUAAAGGCUGCUUUCACUAGGAGGUUCGCCCGGCUCAAUAAAUCUUUACUGCUCGUGACAAAAACAUCAUUAGGCAGACAAAUUUUUGAAGCUUAGUUGUCAACUUCGAAACAAAAAUAGUCAACGAGCUGCGUUAGAAACUCAGAAACUCUUGGGCGCUUAGCACGCCCAAUAAAAACGACGCACUAAAUUUGUAAGCGGCA